rnacentral:rRNA from 1 species
UGGGGAAUCUUGGACAAUGGGCGCAAGCCUGAUCCAGCCAUGCCGCGUGAGUGAAGAAGGCCUUAGGGUUGUAAAGCUCUUUUGCCAGGGACGAUAAUGACGGUACCUGGAGAAUAAGCCCCGGCAAACUUCGUGCCAGCAGCCGCGGUAAUACGAAGGGGGCUAGCGUUGUUCGGAUUUACUGGGCGUAAAGCGCACGUAGGCGGAUUGUUAAGUCAGGGGUGAAAUCCCGGAGCUCAACUCCGGAACUGCCUUUGAUACUGGCAAUCUUGAGGCUGGAAGAGGUUAGUGGAAUUCCCAGUGUAGAGGUGAAAUUCGUAGAUAUUGGGAAGAACACCAGUGGCGAAGGCGGCUAACUGGUCCAGAGCUGACGCUGAGGGGCGAAAGCGUGGGGAGCAAACAG